UCAGACAACACCAGUGAGAGUGACCGUAGCUCAGGCUGUAUGCCCUCUCUCGCUCGCUCUCUCUCUCUCUCUCUCUCUCUCUCUCUCUCUUUCUCUCUGGCUGAAGAAGCAGUGACCAGGGUUAAGCUCUCCAUUUGGACACUACUGUUUGACAGUCACAGAGCGCAGUCAAAUCUCCAGGACACUGCAGAGGCAGAGGACAAACUGACAAGCCAUCCCCAGGAUCGGGGCUCUUAGCUUGGGGAUACUGCCUGCGGAGGAUUUAUGUGGCAGAGUCCACUGGAGCGACACUGACUUUCAACCUGAGCCCACCCCUUGCUUUACCGUUGCCAUUGGAAACAUGAUGAAGAGGAGGAAGGAGAGGCCAGGAGCUCCCGACCUACGCAUGCAAAUCUGGCCGGCCGCUCAGCACCGCUGCCAUGGCAACAGCAGCCUCCUGCAGCACCUGCUCUCUCCCACCUCACUCCCUCCCUCCUUCCACACCUCCUCCUCCCAGCCCUCCCUCCUCCUCUACUCCACCUCUGCCCACCCAGAGGGCCCACUGUCAGCCCCUGUCCACCAGGUGGUAAACCCCUU